rnacentral:rRNA from 1 species
AUUGAACGCUGGCGGCAUGCUUUACACAUGCAAGUCGAACGGCAGCGCGGGGCAACCUGGCGGCGAGUGGCGAACGGGUGAGUAAUAUAUCGGAACGUACCCAGAAGUGGGGGAUAACGUAGCGAAAGUUACGCUAAUACCGCAUACGAUCUACGGAUGAAAGUGGGGGACCUUCGGGCCUCAUGCUUGUGGAGCGGCCGAUAUCUGAGUAGCUAGUUGGUGAGGUAAAGGCUCACCAAGGCGACGAUCAGUAGCUGGUCUGAGAGGACGACCAGCCACACUGGGACUGAGACACGGCCCAGACUCCUACGGGAGGCAGCAGUGGGGAAUUUUGGACAAUGGGCGCAAGCCUGAUCCAGCAAUGCCGCGUGAGUGAAGAAGGCCUUCGGGUGGUAAAGCUCUUUUGUCAGGGAAGAAACGGUUCGGGCUAAUAUCCUGGGCUAAUGACGGUACCUGAAGAAUAAGCACCGGCUAACUACGUGCCAGCAGCCGCAGUAAAAC